rnacentral:rRNA from 1 species
UACAGAGGUCCCGAGCGUUGUUCGGAUUCAUUGGGCGUAAAGGGUGCGUAGGCGGCGGGGAAAGUCUGAUGUGAAAUCCUGGGGCUCAACCCUGGAACUGCAUUGGAUACUUCCUUGCUAGAGUACUGGAGAGGAAACUGGAAUUUACGGUGUAGCAGUGAAGUGCGUAGAGAUCGUAAGGAAGACCAGUGGCGAAGGCGAGCUUCUGGACAGUUACUGACGCUGAGGCACGAAGGCCAGGGGAGCAAACGGG